GAUUAGCCUGCGUCCGAUUAGCUAGUUGGUAGGGUAAAGGCCUACCAAGGCGACGAUCGGUAGCUGGUCUGAGAGGAUGGCCAGCCACACUGGAACUGAGACACGGUCCAGACUCCUACGGGAGGCAGCAGUGGGGAAUAUUGGACAAUGGGGGCAACCCUGAUCCAGCAAUGCCGCGUGUGUGAAGAAGGCCUGAGGGUUGUAAAGCACUUUCAGUGGGGAGGAGGUUGAUGAGGUUAAGAGCUACAUCAAUGGACGUUACCCACAGAAGAAGCACCGGCUAACUCCGUGCCAGCAGCCGCGGUAAUACGGAGGGUGCGAGCGUUAAUCGGAAUUACUGGGCGUAAAGGGUGCGUAGGUGGUUGUAUAAGUUAUCUGUAAAAUCCCUGGGCUCAACCUGGGCAGGUCAGAUAAGACUGUACGACUCGAGUAUGGGAGAGGGUAGUGGAAUUUCCGGUGUAGCGGUGAAAUGCGUAGAGAUCGGAAGGAACACCAGUGGCGAAGGCGGCUACCUGGCCUAAUACUGACACUGAGGCACGAAAGCGUGGGGAGCAAACAGGAUUAGAUACCCUGGUAGUCCACGCCGUAAACGAUGUCAACUAGCUGUUGG
rnacentral:rRNA from 1 species